ACCUUGUGGAGCCUGAGCUGUCGUUGGGCUGAGGAGACCUCUGAGGUCUCAUCUCAGAUGCAUUUGUCCAGUUGCCCCAGAAAUUAAUAAACCAGGUCAUUUGAUUCUUUUUGAUUUCAGCUCUGAUUGUGUGUGAAGGAGAACAAAUUAUAGCACAAACCUGUGGACCUGAAUAAUUGGAGCGUCUACACUUCAUCCGGACAGCGACCGUUCUCACAAAGCAGCAGUGAAGGGUUCCACCGCGUCCUGCGGCUCCGGUCUGCGUCCUGUUCUGCUGGUUCCGCACUCCACCACCAGGUGUCCUCGGACCUUCUCUGAGGUCCUGAUCACUUGAUUCUGUCCCCACCUGCACACACCUGGCUGCUUUCACCUGUUGAUGGGUUAAUUGGACUCUGCUGGUCUGCCGAUUCCUUUGAACCUGUUGUUUUUUUUUUUGGACCAGUUUUAAUGAUGUUUUGAAGUCGUGACUCCUCCUUGUGGACUUCGCCUCCCGUUCUUCCUGAUUAUUUCUCGUCUGCCUGUGAGUAGCUGGUGGAGACGCGUCCUCGUGUGCGGAGCUCUGGAACCUGGAGCAGCUGAGGUGGAUGCGCUGCAGGACUGAAGCACAAACUCAGGGACACCCGGAUCAGUGCAGCCUCACGGCCCGUCGCGCUGAUAAGUGGGAGAACAGCAGGACUCCAGGAAUUCCUCUCUGCAUUAAUGGCCUCACGCUCCCACGUUGGACGUUUCCUUUAUGGUUUCUCUUUGGGAACGUUGAUCCCGUCCUGGCGCUGAAACAGAACCAGACUGGUCACAGACGGACUCCACGCCGUCUGCAUGAUUCAUGAAGUGUUUCAUUCCAGACUAAGAUUAAGGUGAAAUUUAGAUCUGUCACAAACCUGAACAGGAUAAAGGUCAACAGGUCUCUAAGACCUUUCUGCUGUUUCAGCUGAUCGUUGCAACCAACGUAUUCCAUUGGUGGAGAAGGCUGGGAUUCUUCAGGAGCUUCCAGGAGGUCUGGCUUUGCUCACGCUCACUAAGAACUGGAGGCGCUCGUCAUGAAGCAGCAGGAAUUAAAAGUGUUUGAGUUGGAAGAACAACCCUUAAUGUGGAUAUUAAUUUCUUGCCUGAAUCUCUGUUUAUUUCAUGUGUUACAUGGGUACAUGACAAAGAAACAUAGAGGUUUGAAAGAAAUUACUUAGGAUCAAAGUUAUCUACUUUAAUCUUUAAAAGCACAUCUUGUUUUGAGUUCUGUCGUAAAGAUCAGGGUAAUGAUGAUGAGAUCAGAACGUGCGCAGAAAUCGCUCCAUUUAAAAAAGUCCAUUUAUCUGCAUGAAUUAUGGUGAAGGGCCGUUCUGUAACAUGGAGGCAGAGCCGACUAGAGCUGCUUCAGUCCUGUAGAGUUGUGUGGCCAGGAGGAACCAGCAAAUGAAACGACAACAUUAAAACUCAUUUUCUUCUCAGUUUCCUUCAGUUUGUUCCAACCACAGAAAAACAAACGAGCCGUUUACAGCCUCCAAAUAGCUUUAUUGUUCUUGCGACUGUCCCU